ACCUCGUGUGUGCGUAUCUCGCGAACUCUCGACGAUUCGCGCGGUGCCGACGAGCGAACGGGCGGACAAGCGGGAACCGCAACCGCGCUGCGUAGCGCAUCUCCGUCGACUUCACCUGUCCGCCUCGGACGAUCGAUACUCGGACGAUCUAGCUCGCGCCAGCUCGAGCUAUGCGCCCGUUUCGGCUGGUGUUUACAUUGCCGAUCCGUCAUUCGGGUCGCCGCCAGUGAGUCACCGGAUCGGCCUCCUCAGGUGAUCCUCGCGAACGGUGCUCCGCAAACCCGGCGGUGCCGCUGCGGUCUCUCUUUUUUUCGCUCUUCCUCCUCGUCUCAAGUUUCUUUUUUACCUUUUGCUUCUUCUUCUUCUCGCGUUCCCGCGAGCCGUUGCUCAAACUCUCCGCUCUCCCUUUUUCUCGGACGAGCCCUGCGAUACGGUAGCACCCCCGUGAACGAGCACCGUUAAAAAGCUCGACACGCGCGCACAACGGACCCCCUCCCGCCACCUCCCCCCUCGUAGCACGGGACGGAAUCAUCCCCGCAGGUACACGCACGUCAGAACCUACUACUACCCUUUGUUCAGAUGUCCAGCGACGUCGUCGGCAUGGCGUCCAGUUCCGUCAGCCAGGAGGACUUCGACAACGACUUCGAGUUGACAUCCAGGCGAUCCAGGAUCAGGACCGCCAGGGCGAGGGUGGGCCCACCGAGGACGGGGGAUGCGUCUUCCAUAAGCUUUCAAAAGUGCACACCAGAUGUGGAAGAGUCGCAAGGCGCUUACGACACGAGCUCGAACUCGGUGCUUCCGCCGGAGCACGAGAACCCGCAGAGCAAGCCCAUAAUGAGGAAGCAGGAUAAACGAGUGACCGGCCGUGUCUUUAGUGUCGUAUCCUGUUUGCACAGGCCAACGCACAUAAACAAGGGGAAGCAGCAACGCGAUCGGCGGAAACUGCGAGAAAAACGGCGUAGCACCGGAGUCGUGCACUUACCGUCAACAGAGAGCACCGGUGGUAGUACGGGGGAAGACGAGGAGGAACUUAGCGGCACUUGCCUUGAAACUAAGCACAACACGCAUCACAAUGAAUUUCUCGAUCACGAAUUGAUAGAAGAGCGGACUGCCGCCAGAAUGUACACGCAGAGGCGAAACAAAAGUCACUCGGACUUGGAGGCCGACGACGAGGAAUUCGAUUCUCUCAAUCAGUCCGACAGCGUUAAUCAAUCGGAUCACGGCAACCACGAGCCGCAGACGUCUGUCAAUGCGACCGGCAGACCGAGAUUACCAACGCCGACGGGUGACAAUCCGCACGAGCUGAUCGAACGAGCGCAGGAGGAGAACAAGAGGCUGCUGUCGCUCCUGGAGGAUCGGGAUCACAAGAUCAUGGCGCUUGAGGCGCGUCUGUUGAAGCAGCAGCACGAGAUGGCCGUGGAGCGGGAACGGCUGCGCGAGGAGAACGCGACGUUGAUUCGCGCGAUGGCGGCCUUAGCCAGCAAUUGAGAUCGAUUUUUGCGCGAAUGCCUUGUUUACGCUUCUUCUUGGCUCCUCGCUCCGUAAUAAAUAAUCUCACCCUGUAUAUACACGUUUCUGUAAAGUCGAGGAACGAUCUGACGCUUUCUCUAUUAGGUAUCGAGUCCGUAGAGUCUUUUCUCGUUGCGCUUUUGAUCCUCCUUUAAAAAAACUCCCAUCGAGUUACAACACCGUCACGCAAAAAUUGUUGUGCACGUUGCGCUAAACAAUUGUCUCAAUUGUGUCUUGUAAUUAUUAGCAUGCUUCUCGUUCGAUAUAAUACAAAGUGGCGAUUGACCCGAGAACGAUUUGCUAAUGCGCGAUUGAAUUGCGCUUCUCCGGUCGAGCCUUGCUUCGGAGAGCGUUUUAUUUUUCGAACAAGCACGUAAAUCCGUGCGGAUUGCUCCGUGAUCUUCAGUUUUCGCGACUCUCGAUGCUCUGGGCUGAAAAUCGAUGGAAAGAUUUCCUCCUUCCGCGCCGCAUCUUUUCUUUUUUCCCUUCGUCGUCGGCGGCGGCUAGAGAGAUUAAAGAUUUACAGGGUAAACUGAAAGUCGCGCGUCACGCGAUCACCGAUUCUUUCACUUCUUUUUGUAAACGGAAUUAGAAGGCUGAAAAAACUUAAGGUAGACGAGAGAGACCGUGUAUGAACGAGUUCGUUUGUAAUUUGCGUGGAAGUUACGACAGUUUAAGUUCCCUAGUGAUAAGAGAUUUAGAUGUUUAGUUUAAUAAAUUUAAAAAAGGGUACAGUCGCGUCGCGGUCGUGCUGAUUGAUUCUCUCCGCGUCCCUGCGAGCGCGCGCGGAUCUUUCUAUAUACGUGAUAGAAAAGAGGAACCCACGUAGAGAAACCUGCGAACCCAACUCCUCGAUACGCGUCGCAAAUUGAGUCAUCGCUAAUAAAACGAUCGCUAUCUAAUCGCCGUUCGUCUACCGAGCGGGAGGCUCGUGUAAGGCGCGUGUUUCCUCGUAGCGAGCUGCAACGCGGGUUACAUAUUAUAAAGCGCGAUCCUCCAACCACUUGUAAAGAUAAAGUUAGUACAGAUCGUUACGCGAAUCUUCGGUCGCGGCACACAUCCGUUAUCGAUAACGAACUUGCUAUCUCCGAUUAAUUGUCGUUCUUUUCUUCUUUCUUUUUUGGUUUCAAUGCGCUCCCGGUAACAGGCAAACAACGGUCCGACAAGCGCAAGAGGUGCAUGUGGAAACGUGCAAAGAUGCUGAUU